rnacentral:rRNA from 1 species
CAUGAAAGUGGCGCACGGGUGCGUAACGCGUAUGCAACCUACCUUCUUCAGGGGGAUAGCCUCUCGAAAGAGAGAUUAACACCGCAUAAUAUGAUCGGAUGGCAUCAUUUGAUCAUCAAAUAUUAAUAGGAAGAAGAUGGGCAUGCGUGACAUUAGUUAGUUGGCGGGGUAAUGGCCCACCAAGACCACGAUGUCUAGGGGAUCUGAGAGGAUGACCCCCCACACUGGUACUGAGACACGGACCAGACUCC